AGAGUUUGAUCCUGGCUCAGAAUCAACGCUGGCGGCGCGCUUAACACAUGCAAGUCGCACGAGAAAGGGGAGCAAUCCCUGAGUAAAGUGGCGUACGGGUGAGUAACACGUGGAUCAUCUACCUUUUAGUGGGGAAUACCCCCGGGAAACUGGGGACAAUACCGCAUAAGCUCGUGAGAGGAAAGCAGCAAUGCGCUGAAAGAGGAGUCCGCGGCUGAUUAGCUAGUUGGUGAGGUAACGGCCCACCAAGGCGAAGAUCGGUAGCCGGCCUGAGAGGGCACACGGCCACACUGGCACUGAAAUACGGGCCAGACUCCUACGGGAGGCAGCAGUGGGGAAUCUUGCACAAUGGAGGAAACUCUGAUGCAGCGACGCCGCGUGAACGAUGAAGCCCUUCGGGGUGUAAAGUUCUUUCGACGGGAACGAUAAUGACGGUACCCGAAGAAGAAGCUGCGGCUAACUACGUGCCAGCAGCCGCGGUAAUACGUAGGCAGCAAGCGUUGUUCGGAAUUACUGGGCGUAAAGAGUGCGUAGGCGGUGCUCUAAGUCUGUUGUGAAAUCUCCCGGCUUAACUGGGAGGGUGCAGCGGAAACUGGAGUGCUUGAGGGUGGGAGAGGUAAGCGGAAUUCCUGGUGUAGCGGUGAAAUGCGUAGAUAUCAGGAGGAACACCUGUGGUGUAGACAGCUUACUGGACCACUUCUGACGCUGAGGCACGAAAGCGUGGGUAGCAAACAGGAUUAGAUACCCUAGUAGUCC
rnacentral:rRNA from 1 species